CACGUAGGGUGCGAGCGUUGUCCGGAAUUAUUGGGCGUAAAGAGCUCGUAGGCGGUCUGUUGCGUCGGCUGUGAAAACCCGGGGCUCAACUCCGGGCCUGCAGCCGAUACGGGCAGACUAGAGUUCGGCAGGGGAGACUGGAAUUCCUGGUGUAGCGGUGGAAUGCGCAGAUAUCAGGAGGAACACCAAUAGCGAAGGCAGCUCGCUGGGACGGUACUGACGCUAAGGCGCGAAAGCGUGGGGAGCAAACAGGG
rnacentral:rRNA from 1 species